UACGUAGGGGGCAAGCGUUGUCCGGAUUUAUUGGGCGUAAAGAGCGUGUAGGCGGCCAGGGAGGUCCGUUGUGAAAACUCGAGGCUCAACCUCGAGACGCCGAUGGAAACCCCCUGGCUAGAGUCCGGAAGAGGAGAAUGGAAUUCCUGGUGUAGCGGUGGAAUGCGCAGAUAUCAGGAAGAACACCCGUGGCGAAGGCGGCUCUCUGGAACGCAACUGACGCUGAGACGCGAAAGCGUGGGGAGCAAACAGG
rnacentral:rRNA from 1 species